rnacentral:rRNA from 1 species
GUAGGGUGCAAGCGUUGCCCGGAUUUAUUGGGCGUAAAGGGCGCGUAGGCGGUCACGCACGUCCGUUGUGAAAUCGCUCGGCUCAACUGGGCGGGGUCAGCGGAUACGGUGUGGCUGGAGCAAGCUAGGGGGCAAUGGAAUUCCCGGUGUAGUGGUGGAAUGCGUAGAUAUCGGGAGGAACACCAGUGGCGAAGGCGGUUGCCUGGAGCUUUGCUGACGCUGAUGCGCGAAAGCGUGGGGAGCGAUCCGGAUUAGAUACCCGGGUAGUCCACGCCGUAAACGAUGCGGACUAGGUGUCGGGGGUAUCGACCCCCUCGGCGCCGCAGCUAACGCAUUAAGUCCGCCGCCUGGGGACUACGGCCGCAAGGSUA